rnacentral:rRNA from 1 species
UACGAAGGGUGCAAGCGUUACUCGGAAUUACUGGGCGUAAAGCGUGCGUAGGUGGUUCGUUAAGUCUGUCGUGAAAGCCCCGGGCUCAACCUGGGAAUGGCGAUGGAUACUGGCGGGCUAGAGUGCGGUAGAGGGUAGCGGAAUUCCCGGUGUAGCAGUGAAAUGCGUAGAUAUCGGGAGGAACAUCCGUGGCGAAGGCGGCUACCUGGACCAGCACUGACACUGAGGCACGAAAGCGUGGGGAGCAAACAGG